UCUUUAUAUUUUAAUUAUUAAAAAAUUAUUAGAAUUAUAAUAUUUAUUAAUAUUUAAAUUAUUUUAUUGGGGUGAUGUAAAAAUUUAUAUAACUUUUUAUUUUUAUAAACAUUAAUUUAUGAAUAAAUGAUCCAAUUUUAUUGAUUAUAAGAUUAAGU
rnacentral:rRNA from 1 species